GGGCGCAGAUGCCGCGAAGACGAAGGCAGGUCAGCGAGCGAUCGAGGUCCAUGAUGGUAAGCAUAGAGGUGUGGAAGAAGAAGAGCUACAGUAGAUCUGAUGAGCUGAUGGAUUGUGGUCGUGCUAGCAGCUGAAGACAGUAGUAGGCAGCUCUCCUCUGGCAGGUGAUGGAUCGAUCGAUCAUCGACGGGUGUGUAGUCGAUCGAGGACUCGAGGCCGGCCGGUAUCCAUGCAUGAUGCAGCUGCAUGCUGCAUGCAUGCACGUGGCCAAUGGGUUGCCGUGGUCCUUGAUCGACUCACACCGGAUCAGGCGUACGUACGUCCUGCCAAAGGAGAGUUGCCCUGCGACUGUCAUUAGCUUAGUUAAGACGAUCUUGGACCAGUCGUCUCCUCCUCGAUUGGGCUUUUUAUCAGAAAUCUGAUUCAUGAAGAGAAAAAUGGUGACUGACCAUGUGCUACCUAAUUUGCUAACAGCUAAGUGAGUUACCCCAGUCAUGUAGGUAAUUCUUUUCUGGAAAAGAAGCGAUGUAUUAGGUACUAGCGAACAGAGGGGAAAUGUAGGCCAGUUACCGGCGAUGGUAUCAUUCGACCUCCGGUAGCAGGGUCCAACAACGCAGUAAGGUCAAUCAUGUCUUCUAUGUUCAACUUUAUACCAGUUUCUUCUUCCACCUGCCAGCAGUUAAGGAUCAUCGCAACAAGAACAUUGUAUACAGCAUUUUUUCGUACUAUACAAAUUCAUGUGAUUUUCAACUGCAACAGUAACGUAUUAUGGGGCUUGUUCAAUCUGAACCAGAGCCAGGAAAAACAGGACCAAUACAAGGCUGGCUUGUUCAAUCUGAACUCAGAACCAGGCAAAAACAGGAUGCCUGCUGUAUUCAGAAGCCAAGAGCCCAAGAUACUAACCUCACGAACUGCGGUGCCAACAAAAUCACCUUUUUCAUCAUCUAGCAUCCCAGCUGGAAGCUCCAACAAGAAUUUCCCAACAGGAACUCUUACCUGGAAUUUUGAUAUCAGCUAUAGGUGAAUUUGCUUACUGUAUAUAAAACCAUGUGCUACAAAUCAUGGUUACCAUACC